rnacentral:tRNA from 1 species
ACUUGAAUAGCUUAUAUUUAGAGUAUAACAUUGAAGAUGUUAUUGAGGUUUUUAUCUUCAAGUA